UUCCGGUUGAUCCUGCCGGAGAGAGAGAUAUCAGAGUGAGAUUAAGCCAUGCGAGUUAACGUAGUAAAUCGGGGCGCACGGCUCACUAACACGGAGCCAACGUGCCCAGAGGACGUGGAUAACCUCGGGAAACUGAAUCUACCCCGCGAUAAGGGAGGAUUUCUGGAAUGGUUGGUGACUAAAAUCUAUAUGGCCUCUGGAUUGGACUGCGGGCGAUCAGGCUGUUGGAGAGGUAAUGCCCCACCACCACUGUAAAGGGUGCGGGCUGGGAGAGGGAGAUGGGAGAUAUCCCCAGAGAGACGAGGGCCGGGGCCCUUGGGGGUUUAAAAGGCUGAACACCUCUACAAUCUGAAAACUUGUUAGGGAUCUUUUCUGCUAGGGGAAUGCUGGGGAACUUUUUGUUGGGGUCCAAAACUCGGCGCACCAUAAUCAGGGCACUACAGCGGGGGGUUAACA
rnacentral:rRNA from 1 species